UCCAUUAUUGCUCAGUUGGUAAAAGCACAAGGCUCUUAACCUUGUGGAGAUGGGUUCAAGCCCUGCGAUAGAG
rfam:Triticum urartu cultivar G1812 contig582460, whole genome shotgun sequence.